rnacentral:rRNA from 1 species
UACAGAGGGGGCAAGCGUUGUUCGGAAUUACUGGGCGUAAAGGGCGCGUAGGCGGCCUGUUAAGUCGAACGUGAAAUCCCCGGGCUCAACCCGGGAACUGCGUCCGAUACUGGCAGGCUUGAAUCCGGGAGAGGGAUGCGGAAUUCCAGGUGUAGCGGUGAAAUGCGUAGAUAUCUGGAGGAACACCGGUGGCGAAGGCGGCAUCC